rnacentral:rRNA from 1 species
UGGGGAAUUUUGGACAAUGGGGGAAACCCUGAUCCAGCCAUCCCGCGUGUUCGAUGAAGGCCUUCGGGUUGUAAAGCACUUUUGGCAGGAAAGAAACGUCAUGGGUUAAUACCCCGUGAAACUGACGGUACCUGCAGAAUAAGCACCGGCUAACUACGUGCCCGCAGCCGCGGUAAUACGUAGGGUGCAAGCGUUAAUCGGAAUUACUGGGCGUAAAGCGUGCGCAGGCGGUUCGGAAAGAAAGAUGUGAAAUCCCAGAGCUCAACUUUGGAACUGCAUUUUUAACUACCGGGCUAGAGUGUGUCAGAGGGAGGUGGAAUUCCGCGUGUAGCAGUGAAAUGCGUAGAUAUGCGGAGGAACACCGAUGGCGAAGGCAGCCUCCUGGGAUAACACUGACGCUCAUGCACGAAAGCGUGGGGAGCAAACAGG